rnacentral:tRNA from 1 species
AGAAUAGUAUUCACACAUGAUUUAUAAUUUGCACUUAUACGGUGCUUUUUAGCCUAUUUUA